rnacentral:rRNA from 1 species
UACGAAGGGGGCUAGCGUUGCUCGGAAUCACUGGGCGUAAAGCGCACGUAGGCGGAUCUUUAAGUCAGGGGUGAAAUCCCAAGGCUCAACCUUGGAACUGCCUUUGAUACUGGGGAUCUCGAGUCCGGAAGAGGUUGGUGGAACUGCGAGUGUAGAGGUAGAAAUUCGUAGAUAUUCGCAAGAACACCAGUGGCGAAGGCGGCCACUGGUCCGGAACUGACGCUGAGGUACGAAAGCGAUGGGGA